CUGGUUGUUUUGGUUAACCGGUUAAAUUAAGGAAAAAAAAUCACCCCUUCAAAACCUAGGACGCGUACUCCAUUUCGUCUAUCUCCUCCUCCACAAUUCUGCACAGCCACAACCCUAAACCCUCGAAAUAACAGGUGCGCAGCUUUCCACAGCCUGAAGAAGCUCCCCCCACUUCGUCUUCUCCAUCUGAAGAGCAGAUUUCAGCCAAAACCCAGAAACCCACUUCGUCUUCUCCAGCUGCUUCCUCCAUCUCGAAUGGAGUGAGGGGACUGAUGUUGGAUGUGUACGAUUUCGAGAACGAUAUCUGGCUUUGCCAUUCUUUUCGGGGGCAAUGUUUCAACUUCAUUGCAUUUGUAAUCUCUCUUCCAUCGUGUCAACUUAACACUUAUUCUUCUUUUGUGUGAAUUUUGAACGGUGUGGCUGUAAAUGAAAUUUUGGGUUUUGCCAAUUAUUUGUUCCUUUUAAAAUUUAAUAUGUGAUUUACAAUUUUGGCUGUAAAUGAGAAUUUGGUAGAUUAUUGUGCAGUUGAUUGAAGAAGUUAGAAAAUUAAAGUUAUGCACUUAACGAACUGCUCUAUUUUUGUCUUUCAGUAACUUGUUGCUCUAGGUAUACAUCGAUUUGUCUUCCCUCUUUGUGCCAAAAGAUAGACAACUCCAAUUUUGCCGCAUAUAUUUUUAUUUUCUGUUAUGAUUGUUAGUAAGUAAUCUCUAUUAAGUCAGCCAACCAUCUUUCAUUUUUGUUUUUUGGUAAUUAAAUCAAGGAUUUUGUUAUCAUGUUUAUAUGAUGUGAGUGAGGUGAUUUUUGGUGCGGUAAAUUGCAAAUCACUAGUGAUUUUGAAUUGUUGUUUCAGUUUUUUCAUUGUUACAAAGUUAGCUUCGUUGGUGCUCUCUGCUCUCUAACUGUUCAUGAACUUCACUGUUUAGUUUGGUCUCUACCCUGAUUACAUGUUAACAAUUCCGGAAAUUAAUUAUUCAAAUUUUGUAUUUAUUUUCCCACUAUGCGUUUCUGGGUUGUUAUAAUGCCUCUGGAUCUGAUUAUAUAUAAAUACCCAUGAGGCCUCUGAUUGUGUAUGAUUUAAUUGUGGUGGGAACUUCACACAGGACUUGGCAAGCAAGUAGAUGUUUCAGUAAUUUGUUGGUUAUCUGAAGCCUGUAUUGCAAGCAUUAGUGCCUGAUCAAGAUCGUGGAGAACAAAAGAAAGGUUUUCUUAGACUGUGUUGCUCGUGAUCUUCUAAGUGCUAGAUAACUUAGUUCAUUUUGAGUAUUUUUAGUUUUAAAUGUAAUUUUUAUUGCGAUUUAAAUAUCAUGUUACAAUGGAUAGAUUUGCAGGUUGUAACUUUGUAUAUUCAAUCAUUGUA